UGGGGAAUAUUGCACAAUGGGCGCAAGCCUGAUGCAGCCAUGCCGCGUGUAUGAAGAAGGCCUUCGGGUUGUAAAGUACUUUCAGCGGGGAGGAAGGGAGUAAAGUUAAUACCUUUGCUCAUUGACGUUACCCGCAGAAGAAGCACCGGCUAACUCCGUGCCAGCAGCCGCGGUAAUACGGAGGGUGCAAGCGUUAAUCGGAAUUACUGGGCGUAAAGCGCACGCAGGCGGUUUGUUAAGUCAGAUGUGAAAUCCCCGGGCUCAACCUGGGAACUGCAUCUGAUACUGGCAAGCUUGAGUCUCGUAGAUGGGGGUAGAAUUCCAGGUGUAGCGGUGAAAUGCGUAGAGAUCUGGAGGAAUACCGGUGGCGAAGGCGGCCCCCUGGACGAAGACUGACGCUCAGGUGCGAAAGCGUGGGGUGCAAACAGG
rnacentral:rRNA from 1 species